AGUAAAUAGAUACCCGGGUAGUCCACGCCGUAAACGAUGUCGACUUGGAGGUUGUGCCCUUGAGGCGUGGCUUCCGGAGCUAAACGCGUUAAAGUCGACCGCCUGGGGAGUACGGCCGCAAGGUUAAAACUCAAAUGAAUUGACGGGGGCCCGCACAAGCGGUGGAGCAUGUGGUUUAAUUCGAUGCAACGCGAAGAACCUUACCUACUCUUGACAUCCAGAGAACUUAGCAGAGAUGCUUUGGUGCCUUCGGGAACUCUGAGACAGGUGCUGCAUGGCUGUCGUCAGCUCGUGUUGUGAAAUGUUGGGUUAAGUCCCGCAACGAGCGCAACCCUUAUCCUUUGUUGCCAGCGGUUAGGCCGGGAACUCAAAGGAGACUGCCAGUGAUAAACUGGAGGAAGGUGGGGAUGACGUCAAGUCAUCAUGGCCCUUACGAGUAGGGCUACACACGUGCUACAAUGGCGCAUACAAAGAGAAGCGACCUCGCGAGAGCAAGCGGACCUCAUAAA
rnacentral:rRNA from 1 species